rnacentral:rRNA from 1 species
AUUGAACGCUGGCGGCAUGCCUUACACAUGCAAGUCGAACGGUAACAGGUUAAGCUGACGAGUGGCGAACGGGUGAGUAAUAUAUCGGAACGUGCCCAGUCGUGGGGGAUAACGUAGCGAAAGCUACGCUAAUACCGCAUACGAUCUACGGAUGAAAGCGGGGGAUCGCAAGACCUCGCGCGAUUGGAGCGGCCGAUACCAGAUUAGGUUGUUGGUGAGGUAAAAGCUCACCAAGCCUGCGAUCUGUAGCUGGUCUGAGAGGACGACCAGCACACUGGAACUGAGACACGGUCCAGACUCCGACGGGAGGCAGCAGUGGGGAAUUUUGGACAAUGGACGCAAGUCUGAUCCAGCAAUGCCGCGUGCAGGACGAAGGCCUUCGGGUUGUAAACUGCUUUUGUACGGAACGAAACGGUGAGCUCUAAUACAGUUUGCUAAUGACGGUACCGUAAGAAUAAGCACCGGCUAACUACGUGCCAGCCGCAGCAGUAA